rnacentral:tRNA from 1 species
GGCUCGUUGGUCUAGGUGAAUGAUUCUUCCUUCGGGUGCAAGAGGUCCCGGGUUCAAAUCCCGGACGAGCCC